UGAAUACGAGACGCUAAGGCGUCGAAGUAGUGUAUGUCAUACUUCCAAGAAAAGCUUGCACUGUCAUAAGUAAAAAAUGCCUGUACCAUAACCGACACAGGUGGGUAGGUAGAGUAUACUAAGGGGCGCGAGAUAACUCUCUCUAAGGAACUCGGCAAAAUAACUCCGUAACUUCGGGAGAAGGAGUACCUUAUUCUAUAAGGUUGCAAUAACAAGAUCCAAGCAACUGUUUAUCAAAAACACAGGUCUCCGCUAAGUCGUAAGACGAUGUAUGGGGGCUGACGCCUGCCCAGUGCCAGAAGGUUAAAGAAGUCGGUUAGCAUUAGCGAAGCUGGUAACUGAAGCCCUGGUGAACGGCGGCCGUAACUAUAACGGUCCUAAGGUAGCGAAAUUCCUUGUCGGGUAAGUUCCGACCCGCACGAAAGGCGUAAUGAUUUGGAUACUGUCUCGGAGAGGGGCUCGGUGAAAUAGACUUGUCUGUGAAGAUGCGGACUACCUGCACCAGGACAGAAAGACCCUAUGAAGCUUUACUGUAACUUGAAAUUGAAAUUGGACUUUAUUCGCGCAGUAUAGGUGGGAGGUGUUGAUUAUAAUCUUGCGGGAUUAUUGGAGCCAUCAGUGAGAUACCACUCUUGUAAUGUUAGAUUUCUAACUUUGAAUCAUUAUCUGGUCAAAGGACAGUUUCAGGCGGGCAGUUUGACUGGGGCGGUCGCCUCCCAAACGGUAACGGAGGCGUACAAAGGUUUCCUCUGAACGGGUAGAAAUCGUAUCUAGAGUGUAAAGGCAUAAGGAAGCUUGACUGUGAGACCUACAAGUCGAACAGGGACGAAAGUCGGUCUUAGUGAUCUGACGGUACUGAGUGGAAAGGCCGUCACUCAACGGAUAAAAGUUACUCUAGGAUAACAGGCUGAUCUCCCCCAAGAGUUCACAUCGACGGGGAGGUUUGGCACCUCGAUGUCGGCUCAUCGCAUCCUGGGGCGGUAGUACGUCCCAAGGGUUGGGCUGUUCGCCCAUGAAAGCGGUACGCGAGCUGGGUUCAGAACGUCGUGAGACAGUUCGGUCCAUAUCCGGUGUAGGCGUUAGAAUAUUGAGAGGAGCCUUCUUUAGUACGAGAGGACCGAGAAGGACAUACCUCUGGUGUACCAGUUAUCGUGCCAACGGUAAACGCUGGGUAGCUAUGUAUGGAGUGGAUAACCGCUGAAAGCAUCUAAGUGGGAAGCCCACCUCAAGAUAAGUAUUC
rnacentral:rRNA from 1 species